UUGAGGGUAAUUGUGCUUGCUGUGGAACAUAUGCAAUACCUGUUUUUAUGCCCAGUCUUUGUUUUUCCUUUAUUUUAAAAAACAACAAUAACAACAAAACCAAAAAACUACAAACCACCACCAGGAUCAUUAGCAUCUCGGUUCUUCUCCUCUGUUCUGUGUCCAUCCCAGCAGUGCAGACUGGAAUUGAACUGGUUUUUCUGUGGGCUGGCACAAUUUACAUAAGAAAUCACUUACUGCAACGCUAAUGAGCAAGCAGCACAAGACUCAACAGUGUGUGUCUGUUAGCAAAAAUAUCGCAAGAAAAGUUGGGAAGGGAUGGUGAACAGUGACGGUGGGGAGCUCAUCAGCUGUCAGCUGUCAGCUCUGUCUAAUCGCGGUCCCAAUAGCAUCGGCAUGAACUUUGUCAUCGAUUUAGUGAGAGGUCAAGGAAAACAACAGUGUUCAGAAGAUCCCAUCCUUUCACUGUGGCCUAACAAAUUCUGCUUUAAGACAUAUUUAAAGCAUUUCAUAGUUCUCUUUGCUGAGAUUGCCUUGCUUCUGCUAAUAGCUGCUUUCAUUCAGAAUGUGUGCAGGUAACUGAGGCCUUCCUGGUGUGUCUGGACUAGAGUUUAAACACACUGUUCACAUUUGCAUCUUCUUCUCUGUUAAAACCCCAUUUCUGGUUUUGCCUGGUUCUAAAGUAUGCAUAAGCACUGUUCACAGUUCACCUAUUUCAUCUUCGGGAUGCAUGAAGUCCACGUUUGGGUGCAGAGAGCGUCGCAUAAAGCUUCUGUACACUAAAUCCUGAGUGGGAGUAAGUUGAGUGUUGCCACUGACAGAACUAUGAGCUUUACUGUCUCACACUGAUGUUGCACAACAGUCUCUAAAUGAUUCUCACUCGUACAUCCCAAGGGAUUGCGCUACGGUUCAACACAGUGAUUCAACAUCCCUGGUCUCGCUGGUGCUGGGGAGAUGCUCCACACGCGGAAUGGUAAACUUGCAGCAAACCAAGGCAGCUCAUGUUUUCUUGGGAGGAGCCGAUCAAGAGCAAGCAUUAUCUCCAUCAGGUGUUCCCAGCUUUAAUGAAGGGUGAAAGCCUUUCGGCCCCUUGCUCAAAUUUCAUCACAACCAUCCCCAGUCUCGGCUCUCGGUGUGUGAGCCACUCUGGAGGGAGCUCUUUGGAAAGCAGCCAGCUGGUCUGCCAGCAGAUUGGAUCCAGUUGCAUCAGCAUGGGAGCAGGAAUGCUCCAGGGCUGGCAGGACCAGUUCUGACUGGUUUUCCCAAAGCUCCUCCCACAGGAGCUUCUGCAAGGAUAUCCACUUCCCUCACCAAAAGCAUCUCACUGGGUGAUCCGGGGAUCCUGAAAAUGGAACAGCUGUUACCUGGCAAAACAAGUGAAGGGAUUAACCCUCCCCUGGGCUCCAAGCCUGGUGACAGAGAGAAAUAGUAGGUGAAACAGCACUAAAAAUGCUACUGAGACAUGCUGUCUUUCACCGUCACAGCUACAGAACUAUCACGGCCAAACAUCUACCAAAACAAAGACAAGCCAGGCCCUUGUUUAGUGGAAGAUGUAAUCGAUUGGUCUGUGCUGAUUAACUGCUGAUGACACAGAUAACUUUAUGGAAGGCACUGUAGCCUUUCAGAAAGGAUGUCUCAGACUGGCUGCUGCGUGCAAGGUUAUCAGCACGAAUGACUUCACUGUGAACCUUUCCAUCACAGAUGGUGCAUCAAGGAGGGCCAGCGUGAUGAUUUGGAGACCCGACUGCCAACCGAAACGUGACUUACGCUGAGAGCCCGAUACCAUGUGUGAGAAGCCAUCUUCAACCUCAGUGGUUUGGAGGAUAGAAGCCUUGCUACAAACCUGAUUCCUGACAUGGUUGUGAAAACUGAGAAAGAGAGCACAGAGCGACUGAGUUAUGAGAUGGUGAUGCCUGCAGUGCUUUUCUCAUCUUAAGACCAUGAAGUCACUAAUGACCAUUACCAUGACAGUGGUUUAUCAGCCCUGCCUGUUCUUUUCUGGAGGCUGGUUUCCACCAGGAGGUGCAACUCGGCAUUACCCACAGACUGAGCGUUUGGCUCUGCUCCACAUUGUGCGUGAGAGGGACCAUUAAAGAAGAACAGAGAGGGUGAAAUUCCACCCAAGUCAUUUUCGUUCUUCCAGCCCCAAAUUCCCACACUGCUCUGACAAGGAGAGACCCCCAUACAGCCAUCCUGCCUUGUCCUCACGUUGCUGCCGACCUCCUCAGGCACAUGCUGCCUUCCUGGGAGAAUGCUGCAGCUCCUUCCCAAGACCCCACAAGCUGUGUCUGCACCUCCAGCCAGACCAUCUUGGAUAGUCUCUGGGCCUAACCUGCGGCUGUUGGCGCUGAUGCAUGGAGCUGGAGCUGUAGCAGAGUCUCCAGGAGGACAGGGAGGUCACGUAGUACAACAAACUGUCAUGGAGCCAGGUCCCAGAUGGGAGAACACCCAUAAACCAGAAAAUGAUGAACUUCACAGAAAUAAACAGGAUUUGAUCAUUUUUGAGCUUGCCCUGACCCCCUGAAGAUAUGUCACAAAGAUAAAUAUGGACACAGCAGCAUUAAGGCAGGCGUGCAUCCCUUCGCAGACGGUCAGCGUUCACGAGGCAGCCAGGCAAAAUGUUCCCUGCAUAGAAAACAACUUCACACGAGCACCUCAUAAAUUUGGUAAAGUAACUGGAAGAUUAAGUCAAGUCUCAAAGACAAGACAAAGCAUAUGAGACCUGCUUGGAUGCCUUCAAAAGGGAGGCAAGAAAAUACAUUGAUGGGAGUGGUCACAGGGAUCAAAACAGCAGCAAGAAGAUAAAAGUAUUAGUCAAUGACAAAGAAGAGUCCAUGCCUGAGAAUUAUCUGUGCUUGAGACAGUGGACUUCAAUCCUUGCCUCUGGUAAUCCCUACACUUUAGGGCUAAAGACAGGUUUUUUUUUUAAAGCAUUAAAGCACAACAAAAACAAGCUUCCCAAGCUCUUUAAAUAAGCCUUUUCGCCACCAAAACAGCCAGCGAGCAUCACUCUGGCAAGAAGCUUCUUCUGCGGAAGGCUCCCAGCUACCAUCUGCCGCUGUGGACUGCAAGACAGACAGGAAUGGAGCCUACCAACUCCACUGGGACAAAAUACCAUGCCCUGAAGGGAUUGCCUUCAAGCACAAUUGAGGUGCUGUGAUCUGUUUUAAGAUAUCGUCAUCACUAAAAUGAAACAAAUCUCCUCUAAGGGGAAAAAGAAAACACAAAAUUAUAGAUAAAUAGACUGUGGCAGCCAACCAUAACACUGCUUACAUGGGAAAAGGGAGUGUUUGGCCCUUUGGCCCUCAUCCUCACCUUGACUUCCAGAGACCCAAGUGAACAGUGUCAGAACAGCAGAGAAUACAACCAUCAGCACCAACUGCACAUUACCACUUGUUUUAUUGCCAGAGUAAGUACUACAUAUGCUGUUAGGAGUCACUGUUCAGCUUCUCUGUGACCCUGUUGUUGUGUUGCAUUAACACACAGAUUAUCUUCCUUGCUGCUAACCUCCUACCUGAAACCCAUGACUGGUUUCCACUGACCUGCAUCUCCUUGCAGGCUGCCUAGUCCCCGUAAACUUUUCUGUUUUUCGCUCUUCCUGUCCUCAGGACCAGCCCACUGAGCUUUCCCCACCUGCACUGGGGGUCUCCCCUCCCACCACAUACUUCAAAAUUAGUUCAUAACCUCCAUGAUCUAGAACACUUCUACAUCUCUGCUCAUGAGAUGACACAACAGUCUUCUAACAACGUUUCAACAAAUAUUCCCUCACUAGCCCUUAUUACCCACUAGGUAAGAACUGUAUUCACGCUCCAAUCCUCUGGUAAAUCAUAAAUUUAAACAAAAUAUGACAUCUCCUGCAUUUUUCGAGUUCUUAUAGAAAAAAGCUACCAUCCCACACUGGUGCAGUGGAUUGCACUAGUACUGCCUUGUCAGACACCUUAGCUGAUGAACCUGCUGACCACACAGGCCCUUCUUGCUAGACCAAAACUGCUGCGCAGGUGAUUUACUUCCUCACUGCCUCACAGAACUAUGGGGCCACUUAGGUGGCAAGGGGCCUCUGGAAGUUACCUGUUCUGUACACUGCCUUACCACGAGAAAGCUGUAAAAACAUCAGUUCUUCCUAAAUCCCUUCCAGAUUAGAUGCAUUAACAUCCUCAUGACACAGGCAACUGCAUAACAGCCUACCACAGAAAUGCCUACAGAGGAACAUACCCUAAUACUCCCACCUGCGAUUACGCGAUGGACAGGCAGACUGCUCAUUUUUCCCCACUGAGUGUUCUCACACUUCAGACUGGUUCAAAACUGCUGGCAAUCCAUUUCCCCAGACCUUCUGCGCUUGAGAAUAACUGCUUUAAAUAGCAGUCUUGUCCUACAGGACAUUUGCAGACUUCUAAACUGACACUUCCACCAGUCUUCUAUUAAAACCUUGUCAUCAGCACAAGGCUGCCUGUGCUUGUGCAGGUUGGCAUUUCCAGCACACACAUCCCCUGGAAGCAGCUGCACACCACAUGUACUCAAGCAUUGAAUCCUAGACUGAAGAUUAAAAUGUUUGGCCUAAUCAUUCCCACACAGCCCAGAAGAGCCUAAUACACACCUAAUUAACUAAUACACACCCAUUUUCUAGCCAUGCCAUAAGAAUCACUACUUUAACAGGUUACAGUCCUCCAUGGCAGCUGUCCUACAAUUCAUGGCUGGUAACAAUCCAACCCCCCCCCUCUGCACAACUACAAAUACAGCUAAUUCAGCACACAAUUCUACAGCAGCGAUAUUUCAAGAACUGUUUCUGCUUCAGCUGACAACUACUUCAGCAGUGCUUUAAGUAACACAGCCUGAAAGUCCGGCAACUCACUUCAGGGGUCAUUCACUAGUAAUAAGUAAUUGAAUGCUAGUAAUUUGAAUGAUAUUCAAAUCACUGGCUCCAUGGUUAAAACUCAAAGCUUUUGCUGUUAAGUGUAACAGAGUCGCUGAAAGGCAGGUUAAACACCAUCUUUCUUUUAGCAGCCAGGAAAUGAGCAGCAUGUUCCCACUUCCGAUGGCACCAGCUGUUUGCUACAGGCCUGUCUGAGGAAACAGCAUUUCUAACAGUUUAAUUUUUCUUAAAAGCAAAGUGCGCCUGUUAGGUGUACAAACAGUGAAUGAGUACACCCCAUUGGAAAGAAAGCACCCGUGUUACCCAAGAUCCUGACCCCAUAGUUUUGUGGAGCACCCCCAGAGAAUCCCCUGGAGACACAGAAAGAGGUGGUUACGCUAGGAAAAAACCCAAACCCAACUGCAACACAAAGCUGUGAGUGGAAACACAUCAACGAGCAGUUAAAGAAAACCUCCCCAGCAAAACCCAAGACAAAAGGAAAAGGCCUGCUAUUGGCAAGAAAAUGCCGAAGCUGUGCCA